GACGGAGGGUGCAAGCGUUGUUCGGAAUUACUGGGCGUAAAGGGCGCGCAGGCGGUCUUGUUUGUCGAGUGUGAAAGCCCCGGGCUCAACCUGGGAACGGCGCUCGAAACGGCGGGACUAGAGAUCGGGAGAGGAGCGUGGAAUUCCCAGUGUAGAGGUGAAAUUCGUAGAUAUUGGGAAGAACACCGGUGGCGAAGGCGGCGCUCUGGACCGAGACUGACGCUGAGGCGCGAAAGCCAGGGGAGCAAACGGG
rnacentral:rRNA from 1 species